rnacentral:rRNA from 1 species
GACGAACGCUGGCGGCGUGCUUAACACAUGCAAGUCGAACGGACCUGAUUGAAGCUUGCUUUAUGAAAGGUUAGUGGCGAACGGGUGAGUAACACGUGGGCAACCUGCCCUUUAGCUGGGGACAACAUCCCGAAAGGGGUGCUAAUACCGAAUAAGUUCUCUUAUUUGCAUGAAUGGGAGAAGAAAGGUGGCCUCUAUUUAUAAGCUACCGCUAAAGGAUGGGCCUGCGUCUGAUUAGCUAGUUGGAGUGGUAACGGCACACCAAGGCGACGAUCAGUAGCCGGUCUGAGAGGAUGAACGGCCACACUGGGACUGAGACACGGCCCAGACUCCUACGGGAGGCAGCAGUGGGGAAUUUUCCGCAAUGGGCGAAAGCCUGACGGAGCAACGCCGCGUGAGUGAAGAAGGUUUUCGGAUUGUAAAGCUCUUUUGUUAGGGACGAAUGUGGAGGAUGUAAAUAAUGUCUUCCAAUGACGGUACCUAAAGAAAAAGCCACGGCUAACUACGUGCCAGCCGCCGCCGUAACAC